GAUGAACGCUGGCGGCGUGCCUAAUACAUGCAAGUCGAGCGAACGGACGAGAAGCUUGCUUCUCUGAUGUUAGCGGCGGACGGGUGAGUAACACGUGGAUAACCUACCUAUAAGACUGGGAUAACUUCGGGAAACCGUAGCUAAUACCGGAUAAUAUUUUGAACCGCAUGGUUCAAAAGUGAAAGACGGUCUUGCUGUCACUUAUAGAUGGAUCCGCGCUGCAUUAGCUAGUUGGUAAGGUAACGGCUUACCAAGGCAACGAUGCAUAGCCGACCUGAGAGGGUGAUCGGCCACACUGGAACUGAGGCACGGUCCAGACGCCUACGGGAGGCAGCAGUAGGGAAUCUUCCGCAAUGGGCGAAAGCCUGACGGAGCAACGCCGCGUGAGUGAUGAAGGUCUUCGGAUCGUAAAACUCUGUUAUUAGGGAAGAACAUAUGUGUAAGUAACUGUGCACAUCUUGACGGUACCUAAUCAGAAAGCCACGGCUAACUACGU
rnacentral:rRNA from 1 species